rnacentral:lncRNA from 1 species
GUCUCCAUAGCGACAAGAACUCUGCCUCUUGUGUCUGAGAUACGCUGUUGACUGGAUCUUACAUCCAAGGUUUACUCUGACUCCUGUGCGGACACAUACAAAUGACUCUGAGACACUUCUUAUUGAUUUGGCCCUGCCUUCCUGAGAGGGCAAGAACGAGGUGAUCGAAUUGUCUUCAUAAACUCUGGCGUGAAAAUAUAAAUUUGCCAUACAAUUUCCCAACAUAUUAUUGUAAGUAAGUGUUGCUUAAAAUUCUCCCAUGAGA